rnacentral:rRNA from 1 species
GAUGAACGCUAGCUACAGGCUUAACACAUGCAAGUCGAGGGGCAGCAUGGUCUUAGCUUGCUAAGGCCGAUGGCGACCGGCGCACGGGUGAGUAACACGUAUCCAACCUGCCGUCUACUCUUGGACAGCCUUCUGAAAGGAAGAUUAAUACAAGAUGGCAUCAUGAGUCCGCAUGUUCACAUGAUUAAAGGUAUUCCGGUAGACGAUGGGGACGCGUUCCAUUAGAUAGUAGGCGGGGUAACGGCCCACCUAGUCUUCGAUGGAUAGGGGUUCUGAGAGGAAGGUCCCCCACAUUGGAACUGAGACACGGUCCAAACUCCUACGGGAGGCAGCAGUGAGGAAUAUUGGUCAAUGGGCGAGAGCCUGAACCAGCCAAGUAGCGUGAAGGAUGACUGCCCUAUGGGUUGUAAACUUCUUUUAUAAAGGAAUAAAGUCGGGUAUGGAUACCCGUUUGCAUGUACUUUAUGAAUAAGGAUCGGCUAACUCCGUGCCAGCAGCCGCGGUAAUACGGAGGAUCCGAGCGUUAUCCGGAUUUAUUGGGUUUAAAGGGAGCGUAGAUGGAUGUUUAGGUCAGUUGUGAAAGUUUGCGGCUCAACCGUAAAAUUGCAGUUGAUACUGGAUAUCUUGAGUGCAGUUGAGGCAGGCGGAAUUCGUGGUGUAGCGGUGAAAUGCUUAGAUAUCACGAAGAACUCCGAUUGCGAAGGCAGCCUGCUAAGCUGCAACUGACAUUGAGGCUCGAAAGUGUGGGUAUCAAACAGGAUUAGAUACCCUGGUAGUCCACACGGUAAACGAUGAAUACUCGCUGUUUGCGAUAUACUGCAAGCGGCCAAGCGAAAGCGUUAAGUAUUCCACCUGGGGAGUACGCCGGCAACGGUGAAACUCAAAGGAAUUGACAGGGGCCCGCACAAGCGGAGGAACAUGUGGUUUAAUUCGAUGAUACGCGAGGAACCUUACCCGGGCUUAAAUUGCAGAUGAAUUACGGUGAAAGCCGUAAGCCGCAAGGCAUCUGUGAAGGUGCUGCAUGGUUGUCGUCAGCUCGUGCCGUGAGGUGUCGGCUUAAGUGCCAUAACGAGCGCAACCCUUGUUGUCAGUUACUAACAGGUUCCGCUGAGGACUCUGACAAGACUGCCAUCGUAAGAUGUGAGGAAGGUGGGGAUGACGUCAAAUCAGCACGGCCCUUACGUCCGGGGCUACACACGUGUUACAAUGGGGGGUACAGAGGGCCGCUACCACGCGAGUGGAUGCCAAUCCCCAAAACCUCUCUCAGUUCGGACUGGAGUCUGCAACCCGACUCCACGAAGCUGGAUUCGCUAGUAAUCGCGCAUCAGCCACGGCGCGGUGAAUACGUUCCCGGGCCUUGUACACACCGCCCGUCAAGCCAUGGGAGCCGGGGGUACCUGAAGUGCGUAUCCAAGGGGAGCGCCCUAGGGUAAAACUGGUGACUGGGGCUC